rnacentral:rRNA from 1 species
ACGAACGCUGGCGGCAUGCCUAACACGUGCAAGUCGAACGAGACCUUCGGGUCUAGUGGCGCACGGGUGCGUAACGCGUGGGAACCUGCCCCUAGGUUCGGAAUAACUCCCCGAAAGGGGUGCUAAUACCGGAUAAUGUCUUCGGACCAAAGAUUUAUCGCCUUUGGAUGGGCCCGCGUUGGAUUAGCUAGUUGGUAGGGUAAAAGCCUACCAAGGCGACGAUCCAUAGCUGGUCUGAGAGGAUGAUCAGCCACACUGGGACUGAGACACGGCCCAGACUCCUACGGGAGGCAGCAGUGGGGAAUAUUGGACAAUGGGCGAAAGCCUGAUCCAGCAAUGCCGCGUGAGUGAUGAAGGCCUUAGGGUUGUAAAGCUCUUUUACCCGGGAUGAUAAUGACAGUACCGGGAGAAUAAGCUCCGGCUAACUCCGUG